GACGAACGCUGGCGGCGGGCCUAAUACAUGCAAGGAGAACGCAGUUGCGAACGGGUGAGUAACGCGUAGGUAACUGCCGGGUAGCGGGGGAUAACUAUUGGAAACGAUAGCUAAUACCGCAUACUACCAGAUGGACCUGCUUUGUAUUAGCUAGUUGGUGGGGAAACGGCUCACCAAGGCAACGAUACAUAGCCGACCUGGCGGGGUGACCGGCCCCACUGGGACUGCGACACGGGCCGGAGUCCUACGGGAAGCAGCAGUAGGGAAUCUUCGGCAAUGGGGGGAAGCCUGACCGGGCCACGCCGCGUGAGUGAAGGAGGUUUUCGGAUCGUAAAGCUGUGUUGUUCAGGAAGCGGUACUUAACCAAAAAGGUACGGCUAACUACGUGCCAGCAGCCGCGGUAAUUC
rnacentral:rRNA from 1 species